rnacentral:rRNA from 1 species
UAGGGAAUAUUGGACAAUGGGGGCAACCCUGAUCCAGCCAUGCCGCGUGAGUGAAGAAGGCCCUCGGGUUGUAAAGCUCUUUUGUCCGGAAAGAAAAGCUUCGGGUUAAUACCCCGGGGUUCUGACGGUACCGGAAGAAUAAGCACCGGCUAACUUCGUGCCAGCAGCCGCGGUAAUACGAAGGGUGCAAGCGUUACUCGGAAUUACUGGGCGUAAAGCGUGCGUAGGUGGUUGUUUAAGUCUGAUGUGAAAGCCCUGGGCUCAACCUGGGAAUGGCAUUGGAAACUGGGCAGCUAGAGUGCGGUAGAGGGUAGUGGAAUUCCCGGUGUAGCAGUGAAAUGCGUAGAGAUCGGGAGGAACAUCUGUGUCGAAGGCGACUGCCUGGACCAGCACUGACACUGAGGCACGAAAGCGUGGGGAGCAAACA